UCUUUGUCUCUUUAGUGCCUAAUAGCUUC
rnacentral:piRNA from 1 species